ensembl:lncRNA
CGACUGGGGAGACCGGCCAGCCAUGUUUGCUUACGUCUAAUCUGUUUUGGCAACCCGUGUGCAUUUGCGCGUGCAUGUGCGCGUGCGCGUGCGUGCAUUUGAGUGUGUGUGAUUCUUUAUCUCUGUCCCAGGAGUCUCUACGGUGUAGAACAUGUGUUCUGUGUCCAUCGCCACCCCACGCUGCUGCAUGUGUUUCAGUCUGGCUUCCUGCAGGUGUCUGCUCAGACUGCAGUCAGUGCCGAAAUGCAGGCGCUGGUAAAUUUACAGCCCCUGGCUGCAGCUGGUCAUGUUUCAGAAUCAUGGCGUGUUCUCGUCUACCUGUCUGCUAAAGCGCUUCCACCCUUCCACAUGGCCGAGUUCCCGCACCGGACAGGUUGCUGCAGUAUAUUAGCGAGUUGUUGACUGGCCGGUGAAGAGCACAUUUGUCAACAUAUUAGAGUGUGUCAACACUUGAACAUCAGACCGUCAGGCCACCCAGCCAAUCCUCCGACACAGACUGACAUCAGGCUUCAGUGCAUUAAACGUCUACACUUUCAGAGAGGGUUGCCCAUGUGGUGCUAACAGUAUGAUGUAUUGAUGUAGCCGAUAGUCAAGACCAGCCCGGCUGUGAGUUCAGGGGGCCCCGGGAUGUGUGAAGACACAGAGUCCAGGGAGAGAGAUAAAUUAGAG